rnacentral:rRNA from 1 species
GACGAACGCUGGCGGCGUGCUUAACACAUGCAAGUCGAACGGAAAGGCCCUGCUUUUGUGGGGUGCUCGAGUGGCGAACGGGUGAGUAACACGUGAGUAACCUGCCCUUGACUUUGGGAUAACUUCAGGAAACUGGGGCUAAUACCGGAUAUGAGCUCCUGCUGCAUGGUGGGGGUUGGAAAGUUUCGGCGGUUGGGGAUGGACUCGCGGCAUAUCAGCUUGUUGGUGGGGUAGUGGCUUACCGAGGUUUUGACGGGUAGGAGGCCUGAGGGGGUGACCGGCCGCAGUGGGACUGAGAGACGGCCCAGGCUCCUACGGGAGGCAGAAGGGGGGAAUAUUGCACAAGGGGCGGAGGCCGGAUGCAGCAACGCCGCGUGCGGGAUGACGGCCUUCGGGUUGUAAACCGCUUGCGCCUGUGACGAAGCGUGAGUGACGGUUAUGGGUAAAGAAGCACCGGCUAACUACGUGC